UUUUUUUUUUUUUUUAAGACAUUAGUAUAUUAUUGCCUAGUUUUAUAUAUAAGAGUAAAUUAUACUGACUUUUCAUAAGAUUUGGACAAAUUAUACACAAAUAGAGCACAUAUUAUACACAAAUAGAGAGCGUUUGGUCUUUAUUAUUUUAAUUUCCUCUAAAAGUGUUAAAUGUCUUUCAUACCCUUAUCUAAUUUAAUAAAAAAAAAUUAUAAAUAGUAUUAUAAUUUAAUAGAGCGUUUGGACUUUAUUACCUUUUUUCAAUUUUUUCCUUCUUGUAAACACUAUAUUAUCCUAUCUUUCUUUGUUUUUUCUGGUGAAAAAAAUCUAAUCAUGUCAAUAUAUAAAGUUAUUAAUGUCUUUUAACACAAGGAAAGAGAAAUUUAGUCAUUUUUUGAAUUUUCAUUAAUUGAAUUUUCAUUAAUGUCCACACGCAAUAAGUUUCAAAGGAGGUUAAAGUAAUUAAGGCCAAACGAUUUACUUGUGUACAAAUUGCCCUAAUCUCAAGGAAGAUCGGUGUAAUUUACCAUAUAUAUAUAAACUAUUAAAUUUGUGAUUAGUAAUUUGACAGAGUUUUUUUUUCAUAAUAUAUAAACAUAUAUAUUUAAAAAGUAAAAAAAAAUAAGAGAGUAAAGAAUCAUAGUUCAGAACCAGCUCUGUUCAGUUCGUUGCAAGAACACCGGUUUUGAUUCUGGUUUCAAUUUCUAAGGAACUGAGAACGAUUCAGUUCUAAAUUAGCUUAGAACCGAACCAUAUGCAUAUCUUCCUUGGAGUAGGAGUGUUGGAUACAUAGUACAGUGUUGAGUCUAUCCUAUGCAAUUUCUCAUGGGAGAGUGAUAUCUAUCAUUUUAAUAUUUCUCUCAACAAAUAGAGUGAAAUUUUUUUUUUUUUUUUCUUGAACACAAGUCAAAUUAGACCGAACCAUGUGUUUGUUUGUUUUAUUUGCGUUGUUAUUUGUUGUUGGAUCUCCAUGUUCGGUUGUUAUUUACUUCCACUGUGCUCAAUAAUGGGUGUUUUUACCCAACACUGCAAGGUAAGGUAAAAAAAAAAAGCACACAAUUAAAGGCAAAAGAAAUCAACUGAUCAAUCAUAGACAGUUAUAAUUUUUGACUGAUUUGUUUCACUCAGGUUGUGUUUGGUUAAUGGGGGUGUGGUGCCCUAACCACGAAUGGGGAGUCCUGGUCCUUGUACAGAUUCCAUCUUGUGUUAUACAUCUGCCUUAUCUUCUAUCACCCAACAUUGCACGACUUCUUCAAGUGAUACCUGAAAAUGGUACUUUGUUCAUGACAUGUAGUAGUUGCAGUUUCUUUUUUGAGUGGUCUUGCUGAGCCUCGCACAACAGACCAAAAGGAAAGUUUGAUCACAACACAAGUCUUUUUUGAGUGGUCUUGCUGAGCCUCACGCAACAGACCAAAAGGAAAGUUUGAUCACAACACAAGUCUAUUUGUAUUAGCAACAGAGUGCCACAAAGAGGGGGUGACAGCAUGCCACACAGAGGGGGUAAACAGCUGUAAAAUUUGUCAAAGAAACAAUUAUAUCAGAAGGUAUGGAUUCUGGUUUACAUAAUAUGUUUUCUUCUUCUUCUUCCUUUUUUUUUUUUUUUUUUUUCUUUUUUGUAUGGAUCGUUCUUCUUCAUAUAUAUAUAUAUAUAUAUAUAUAUUUCAUAUUUCAUAUUGAAACAAGAUGGGUUUUCUCUCUGUAUUUCCUUUCUCUUCUUAUUUUUUUAAGAGAUAUUUGAGCAGUAAAAUUGAAAGAUGAAUAUGCUCUCUAUAUUUUCUUUCUCUUCUGAAUUUUUUUAUUUUUUUAAGAAAUAUAUGAGCAAUAAAAUUGAAAGAUGGGUUUGCUUUUGUAUUUUUCUUCUAUUAUGAUUUUUUUUAAGAGAUAUAUAAGAAGUAAAAUUGAUUUUGAAAUCAAGAAAUUGGACACUAGUUAAUAUCUGGAGCAAAAUUUUAUUUUAUUUUUUUAAUGGAUGGUUUUUUUCCUUGUGAAAAAAAUCUUGAGCCUAAGAUUACUAAUGAAGGUAUGUUUUGGAUCUAGUUAAGACAAAGUACGCAAUUGAUCAACAUAUUGAAGGUAUACAAAGUUUGCAGGUUUUCUUUGGGAUGGAUACCGGCACAAUAACGUUGAUACAUUGGGGCCGGAGAAGUAGAUGAUUCUUUUGUUAUAAUCUACCUCUUGGGUUAUUGGUGUUCUAGAUUCUGUUGUUGCCAACAGUUCUGAGUUGCUUCGGAUGGCUCUUACUAUGUUUGCCUUUUGAUAUGUUGCAGUUGUUGACUCUUGUAGUGUGGAAGCCUUUGGUGUUUGCGUUUGGGUGACAUCCUGUUUUUCAUUUGUUUGCUCAAAGGAAUGCCCUUGUUUUCCAUAUACUAUAUUGUUUACAUUUAUGAAUAUUUUCUUUUCAUUUUUUUAGGGGUCUAGAUACAUGAGUUAAAAAAUUGUUGUUAGAGCAACUUACAUCUUAUGCUAUUAUAAUGUACAUCUGGAUGGUGUUUAAAUGAUAUCAAUUUUUUGUUUACUUAAGGUGUUGAUCAUCUAUUUUUUUGAAUGUCUGAGUGCCACAUAUUGAUGAUAGUAUUCUAGGAAGUGAAGAUGAUGAUAGUCCCUUUUUUUCUUUUCUUUUUUUUUUUUUUUGGUUCUAAUCUUUGUCAAAAGAAUGUUGGUAGUGACUGUGGUGGUUUUAUCCAGUUUGUAUUGCUAUGCCGGCUAA